rnacentral:ncRNA from 1 species
AAGUUUCCCUCAGGAUAGCAGUAACGUAUAAUCAGUUUUAUGAGGUAAAGCGAAUGAUUAGAGGCAUUGGGGUUGAAACAACCUUAACCUAUUCUCAAACUUUAAAUAUGUAAGAAGCCCUUGUUUCUUAAUUGAACGUGGGCAUUAGAAUGAAACGUUACUAGUGGGCCAUUUUUGGUAAGCAGAACUGGCGAUGCGGGAUGAACCGAACGCGAGGUUAAGGUGCCGGAAUGCACGCUCAUCAGACACCACAAAAGGUGUUAGUUCAUCUAGACAGCCCGACGGUGGCCAUGGAAGUCGGAAUCCGCUAAGGAGUGUGUAACAACUCACGGGCCGAAUGAACUAGCCCUGAAAAUGGAUGGCGCUCAAGCGUGCUACCCAUACCUCGCCGUCGGGGUAGAAACGAUGCCCCGACGAGUAGGCAGGCGUGGAGGUCCGUGACGAAGCCUUGGGAGUGAUCCCGGGUCGAACGGGCCUCUAGUGCAGAUCUUGGUGGUAGUAGCAAAUACUCAAAUGAGAACUUUUGAGGACUGAAGUGGGGAAAGGUUCCAUGUGAACAGCAGUUGGACAUGGGUUAGUCGAUCCUAAGGUAUAGGGAAGUUCCGUUUGAAAAGGCCGCCCUCGUGCGCCGUGUACCGAAAGGGAAGCCGGUUAAUAUUCCGGCACCUGGAUGUGGAUUCUCCACGGCAACGUAACU